UUGUUUCCUGCAUACCCUAUCUCUCUUUUUCCAUCUUUUUUUCUUCUUUUUCUUCUUCUUGCUCUUCCUUUUCUUUUCUGUUUUCUACUUCUUUGAUGUGGUUGCUAUUCUGAGGUUCUCUUUCUGAUCAAUUUAUGGGUUUAAUCCAAGCCAGCUUAUGAACGAGGCCGUGGACCGAAAGACGUUGGAUGGUCUCCACAGCUAGUGGUAGCUGUGCGGACUUAAGACUGUAAAUUGCCACACACCUAGAAAUAAAAGUUAAAAGAAAGGGGAAGAUAUGCAGCUACUUCUGCUGGGUUCUGCAAGAAGUUAGGGACUGUGUGAUGGUUUGUAAGUAUUCUUCUGCAUGGUUGUGGAAGGUGGAGACUGACUGACAUAAAUCUUCUGCUGCUGCUUCUGAUAUCCUUAGUCGGAUUCAUUUGAACUUUCUAAGAAUGAUUAAAUGGUUAAGGAAUAUGCGAUUAAUGUUGGUA